rnacentral:ncRNA from 1 species
GAAAGCUAGGGGAGCGAAUGGGAUUAGAUACCACAUAGUCCUAGCCGUAAACGAUGGAUACUAGGCGUUGUGCGUAUCGACCCGUGCAGUGUUGUAGCUAACACGUUAAGUAUCC